rnacentral:rRNA from 1 species
ACGGAGGGUGCAAGCGUUAAUCGGAAUCACUGGGCGUAAAGCGCACGUAGGCUGUUUUGUAAGUCAGAGGUGAAAUCCCACGGCUCACCCGUGGAACUGCCUUUGAUACUGCUCAACUUGAGUCUGUGAGAGGGUGGCGGAAUUCCAGGUGUAGGAGUGAAAUCCGUAGAGAUCUGGAGGAACAUCAGUGGCGAAGGCGGCCACCUGGUGCAGUACUGACGCUGAGGUGCGAAAGCGUGGGGAUCAAACAG